rnacentral:tRNA from 1 species
GAUAAGGUGGCCGAGUGGUUAAGGCGAUGGACUGCUAAUCCAUUGUGCUCUGCACGCAUAUGGGUUCGAAUCUCAACCAUGUCG